UGAACUGCGAUGGCUCAUUACAUCAGUUAUAGUUUAUUUGAUAGAUACGCGUUCAGCACUACAUGGAUACCUGUAGUAACAUAGAGCUAAUACAUGCAUAAGAAUCUGACUUUACGGAAGGAUUUGCACUUAUUAGAUACCAAACCAAUAUCCUCUCGGGGAUUUAUUAGGUGAAUCACAAUAACUGAACAAAUCGCAUAGUCUUGCACUGGCGAUGUAUCAAUCAAGUUUCUGCCCUAUCAACUUGAUGUUAGUGUAUUGUACUAACAUGGUUUUUACGGGUAACAGAGGAUUUAGGGUUCGAUCCUGGAGAAGGAGCAUGAGAAAUGGCUUACUAUUUCUAAGGAAAGCAGCAGGCGCGUAAAUUAUUCAAUGGGAAUAUCUUCCCGAAAUAGUGACAAAAAAUACUAAUGUAUUAAACUUUAUUUAGUACAAUUGGAAUGGAAACAAUCCAAAACCCUUAUUGAGUAACAAUUAGAGGGCAAGUCUGGUGCCAGCAGCCGCGGUAAUUCCAGCUCUAAUAGCGUAUAUUAAUACUGUUGCAGUUAAAACGCUCGUAGUUGAACUUAGAAUUAUUACAAGUUAUUUUACUUGAUUGUAAAGUGCUUGCUUAAUUCUUAUCUACUAGAUACUCUAUUCUGUACUUAAUUGUAUGGAAUAUCACCUAGCCAGUGGAACUUUGGUGAAAUAAUGCCUUUUUUAAUACCAGAGUGUAAAAACUUGAAGUGUUAAAUUGGGAUCACAUUAUUUUAUUGAAGUGGGGUUCUAGUUAAUUUACUUUGAGUAAAUUAGAGUGUUCAAAGCAGCCUCUUGGGGCUUUGAAUAGAUUUAGCAUGGGAUAAUAGAAUAGGAUUUGAUAAUCUAUUUGUUGGUUUGAAUUAAUCAAAUAAUGAUUAAUAGGGACAGUUGGGGGCAUUCAUAUUAAGUGGUUAGCGGUGAAAUGUGUGGACCCACUUAAGAUGAACUAAAGCGAAAGCAUUUGCCAAGGAUGUUUUCAUUAAUCAAGAACGAAAGUUAAGGGAUCGAAGACGAUUAGAUACCGUCGUAGUCUUGACUGUAAACUAUGCCGACCAGGGAUAUGAGUAGUAUAUUUCAAUAGAUUUCGGCUUAAUGAUACUUCUCCUUAUGCACCUUGUGAGAAAUCAUAAGUUUUUGGGUUCUGGGGGAAGUAUGGUCGCAAGGCUGAAACUUAAAGGAAUUGACGGAGGGGCACCACCAGGAGUGGAGCGUGCGGCUUAAUUUGACUCAACACGGGAAAACUUACCAGGUCCAGACAUUUGAAGGAUUGACAGAUUGAUAGCUCUUUCAUGAUUAAAUGGGUGGUGGUGCAUGGCCGUUCUUAGUUGGUGGAGUGAUUUGUCUGGUUAAUUCCGAUAACGAACGAGACCUUUACCAGCUAAAUAGUGAUUAUUAUGAUUUAUCAUAGUAAGAUUUACUUCUUAGAGGGACUAUUGGUUUUUAAACCAAAGGAAGUGAAGGCGAUAACAGGUCUGUGAUGCCCUUAGAUGUUCUGGGCUGCACGCGCGCUACAAUGAUCAACUCAUCAAGUUAUUUCAACUUGUUUGAAAUUUACUUUUCCUGUAGGAAUGGUUAAUCUUCAACGUUGAUCGUGCUUGGGAUAGAUAAUUGUAAUUAUUUAUCUUGAACAAGGAAUUCCUAGUAAUCGUAAUCAUCAGAUU
rnacentral:rRNA from 1 species